rnacentral:rRNA from 1 species
GAUGAACGCUAGCGGCAGGCUUAACACAUGCAAGUCGAGGGGCAGCACGGGUAGCAAUACCUGGUGGCGACCGGCGCAAGGGUGCGUAACGCGUGAGCAACGUGCCCUAUACAGGGGGAUAAUCCAGGGAAACUUGGUCUAAUAUCCCAUAGCAUUUAGAGGAGGCAUCUUCACUAAAUUAAAGCUUCGGUGGUAUAGGAUUGGCUCGCGUGACAUUAGCUAGAUGGUGAGGUAACGGCCCACCAUGGCUAUGAUGUCUAGGGGUUCUGAGAGGAAGACCCCCCACACUGGGACUGAGACACGGCCCAGACUCCUACGGGAGGCAGCAGUGAGGAAUAUUGGACAAUGGAUAGGAAAUCUGAUCCAGCCAUGCCGCGUGCAGGAAGACGGCCCUAUGGGUUGUAAACUGCUUUAUAUGGGAGCAAUAAGGUUUACGAGUAGACCGAUGAGAGUACCAUAUGAAUAAGCAUCGGCUAACUCCG